CAACCCUGCGGAAGGAUCA
rnacentral:rRNA from 1 species